AGCUCCAAUAGCGUAUAUUAAAGUUGCUGCAGUUAAAAAGCUCGUAGUUGCAUUUCCGAGGCAAGGGAUUAGUCCGACCUUUGGUGGGUAUUUAAUCCUCUUGCCUCGUCCUUGAGUGGUGCUUCUUGGUAUUAAGUUAUCGAGGAGAUAGCCGCUCAUCGUUUACUGUGAGAAAAUUAGAGUGUUCAAAGCAGGCUUAUGCCGUUGAAUAUAUUAGCAUGGAAUAAUAAGAUAGGACCUCGGUACUAUUUUGUUGGUUUGAGAACCAAGGUAAUGAUGAAUAGGGACAGUUGGGGGUAUUCGUAUUCAGUUGUCAGAGGUGAAAUUCUUAGAUUUACGGAAGACGAACGACGGCGAAAGCAGGGAACAAGGAUGUUUUCA
rnacentral:rRNA from 1 species